UGGCGGCAGGCCUAACACAUGCAAGUCGAGGGGCAGCGGGGAUAAGCUUGCUUAUCUGCCGGCGACCGGCGCACGGGUGCGUAACGCGUAUAGAAUCUGCCUUGUACUAGGGAAUAGCCCAGAGAAAUUUGGAUUAAUGCCCUAUAGUAUAUCGUUAUGGCAUCAUAAUGAUAUUAAAGGUUACGGUACAAGAUGACUAUGCGUCCCAUUAGUUAGUUGGUGAGGUAACGGCUCACCAAGACUGCGAUGGGUAGGGGCCCUGAGAGGGGGAUCCCCCACACUGGUACUGAGACACGGACCAGACUCCUACGGGAGGCAGCAGUGAGGAAUAUUGGACAAUGGGCGGGAGCCUGAUCCAGCCAUGCCGCGUGCAGGAAGACGGUCCUAUGGAUUGUAAACUGCUUUUAUACGGGAAGAACAAGGGGCACGUGUGCCCUUCUGACGGUACCGUAAGAAUAAGGAUCGGCUAACUCCGUGCCAGCAGCCGCGGUAAUACGGAGGAUCCAAGCGUUAUCCGGAAUCAUUGGGUUUAAAGGGUCCGUAGGCGGGCCAUUAAGUCAGGGGUGAAAGUUUGCGGCUCAACCGUAAAAUUGCCCUUGAUACUGGUGGUCUUGAGUUAUAGUGAAGUGGCUAGAAUAUGUAGUGUAGCGGUGAAAUGCAUAGAUAUUACAUAGAAUACCGAUUGCGAAGGCAGGUCACUAACUAUACACUGACGCUGAUGGACGAAAGCGUGGGGAGCGAACAGGAUUAGAUACCCUGGUAGUCCACGCCGUAAACGAUGGAUACUAGCUGUUCGGGCGCAAGCCUGAGCGGCCAAGCGAAAGUGAUAAGUAUCCCACCUGGGGAGUACGUUCGCAAGAAUGAAACUCAAAGGAAUUGACGGGGGCCCGCACAAGCGGUGGAGCAUGUGGUUUAAUUCGAUGAUACGCGAGGAACCUUACCAGGGCUUAAAUGUAG
rnacentral:rRNA from 1 species